rnacentral:rRNA from 1 species
CGCGUAGGCGGCAAGGUAAGUCAGAUGUGAAAUUCCGGGGCUCAACCCCGGAGCUGCAUUUGAAACUGCUUCGCUAGAGCGUAGUUAGGGAAAACGGAAUUCCACGUGUAGCUGUGAAAUGCGUAGAUAUGUGGAAGAACACCGGUGGUGAAGACGGUUUUCUGAGCUAUUGCUGACGCUGAGGCGCGAAAGCUAGGGGAGCAAACA